ACAUGCUUACAUCAUAGCGUUAAUGCAUCAGAUCCCAUUAGAAAUCCACAGUUAAGUGCACUUGGGAUAGAGUAGUACUGGGAUGGGUGACUUCCCAAGAAUUCAUAGUGUUUUACAUGCC
rnacentral:rRNA from 1 species